rnacentral:lncRNA from 1 species
GUGGCAACCGGCAACGUCCCUGCCGGCGGCGGCUCUGCUGCCUGGGGCCGGGACUGAGCAGGACAGCGGUGUGGCACCGGACCUCUGCUUGACCCUGCUAGAGAGUGGGGUGCCUAAGGAAGAAACCUGCAAAUUUAAGCCCCUGAAUCUGUAGACCGACUCUUAAGCACAGCGGGAUCUAACCUGUGCUGGCUGAAAUGCCAGGCAACUCGAGUUCAUCUUCAUCAGUCCCGCCUCUUCGGAUGCUGGCUCCGCUGCUCGCAACUGGGGGGGAAGCGCUACAUGCAGGGAGUCUCUCUAGGAGCUGGGCGCCUUCCAGCUUCCAUCUCGUACAUUUUCACAACAAGCGGAAAGGCGAGUGUUAGUAACCGCACUUUCCCUGUAAGAACCGAGAAGGGAAGUGACUUGCCCCCGCAGAGCUGAGACAGGAAGGCAGGUUUUCCGAAUAUCACACGAAGCUGGGCAGGGCCUCCUGUUACUGCUUAGAAACCAAGGGGCCUGAGCUGUGGGAAGCUUUCUUUCAGCAUGGUCCCCCACUUAGAGGUGACUGUCACCCUCCCACUAAAUGGCGAGGAAAUAAAUCCUUGGCAUGCAGCCCCUGAAAGGUUGUCCCAAAUGGGGAACACCCGAGGCGGAGUCCAGCCCUUUCCUGCACAGGGAGGUCUUUACAACACGGAUUUUCCAAGGCAAUCGGAUGCCUCUGCAGUCUAAUCUCAAAAGUAUUUUCUUACUGAAAAGAAAUCUGCGCUUUUGUCUGGCUCACCCCCAGAACGCAAUCCCAGAGUUUGUAAGUCAAAGCUACAUAUUGACUUGAUUGCAGAUUGCUGUCUCUGAUGCAAAAAGGUUGAUCUUUGUAAAGCUGGUCUUCGAAGAACCAGACUAGCCUGGAUUCGGUGCGUCGCAUAUGUUUUCUGCCUCAGCAGCUGAACCAGAGUCACUGCAGUAAACUGAGUUCAUCGGUUUGGCCAGAUCCUGGACUUGCGGGCACAGGGGAAGAAGAGCGGCCACCUCCCACAGCGGGACCGAGGGACCCGCGUGCCCACCUCCCCCUUUGGGUACCUGACUGGGGCCACCGCUUUGGGGUAAAUCAGUACAGAGAUCAGUGUGGGCCGUAAGGUGGAGAGGGUCCCUUGAUUCAAGGAGCAGAGAACCACGGAAGCCAAAGAGAGGGUUUCCCACCUGUGAGACCGUUGGGCCAGAAAGCCGGUCGGGGCUUGAGGCAGCUGCACGGAUGGGCAGUUCUCUUUGCUCUCUUGUGGCUGUACCAUCCCAUGCUGUGCUUUCUCUUGCCUUUCACAAGAUGUGUCUGCUCUAUUUUCCUGUCUUUAUUAACAGGCCGGUUCCUCAAUCCAGAUGCCAGAAAGAGCUAGUCCAGAAGCCUUUGCUUACGGACCUGGUGACAUGGCCUUUUUGGGUAGCGCUCUUGGCCAAAGGCAUCGUCACGAGCCAUUAGGCAGCUCAUGGAUAGGCUGCCUCAGGCCAGGUGCCCGCCUCCGUCCCCUCAGUGGUCACUGAUGCACAGACACCGCCUAAUGUGACUCUCCUUAUCCAGGGGGCUGUGGCCAGGGCAGUUCAUACCAGAAGCAAGCGUUAGGGAACAAGCUGUGAGACUUGUGUGUACCUUGAGUCCAGGGCCGUCACCCAGAACUCAGCUUGGCCAGCGGCCCCCAGAUUUCCUCAUCUGUAAAUAGGGGGAUGGUGACACCUGGUUCAUGGGGUCGUCGUGAGACUUAAACCGACUGAUGGACAAUAUUAUACUAGCGAUAUUAUUAUCAGAAAGGGAUAACCCCAAGCCAUUUUGACCCAUCUGGCUUCUCAGACAGCCUGGCCAUUCAUCUAAAGAGAAAAACAGCGGCAGAAAGCAAGUAACCAGUGCGGACAGCUCGGGGAUGGGCAGCUCCUGCUUUCCUGAGGGAGGAGGGGUCAGGGCAGCCAGGAGUCCUGUGCCCGGGGUCCCACAGGACUGCGGGUGCGUGGACUGUGAGUGUGGGACAGUGUGUGUGUGUGUGUGUGUGUGUGUGUGGAAUGAGUGGCAGAUAAGAGACGACCCCUCCUCUUCCUCUGUUCAGAGCCUCUCCUGUCCACCUUUUCACCAUGGCCCUCUCUACCUUUCGUUUUCAUUUUCUUGGAGCACAGCUGAUUUACAGCGUCGUGGUAGAUUCGCAUGCACAGCCACGGGAUUCAUGUGUGUAGGAAGAGGUAUGUUCUUUUUCAUAUUCUUUUCCCGCAGAGGUUGUUAUAAGCUAUUGAGUCGAGGUCCCCGGGCUACACAGCAUAUCCUCGUUGCUCAUCCAUUUCCUAUACUGUAGUGUGUGUGUGUGUGCAGCCCGACCUCUUAAUUUAACCUCUCGCCCCUUCCCCGCAGUGGGUAAGCGUUUUCUGUGUCUGUGGGUCUGUUUCUGUUCAUUUGUGUAUAUACGUGUUUUUAGAUUCCACAUAGGUGAUAGCACAUGGUCUUUGUCUUUCUCUCUACGUUUCUUUAAAGAGAAAGAGAAAAGUAGACAGGACAUUUAAAAAGCAAUGCAGAGUUGAGGGAGUUCCUAUCAUGGCUCAGUGGUUAACAAAUCCGACUAGGAACCAUGGGGUUGCGGGUUCCAUCCCUGGCCUGGAUCAGUGGGUUAAAGAUCUGGUGUUGCCGUGAGCUGUGGUGUAGGUCGCAGACGCGGCUCUGAUCCCGCGUUGCUGUGGCUCUGGCGAAGGCCGGCGGCUACGGCUCCGAUUCGACCCCCCGCCUGGAAACCUCCACAUGCCAUGGGUGCGGCCCUAGAAGAGACAAAAAAAAAAAAAAAAAAA